rnacentral:lncRNA from 10 species
CAGUACUAUGUUGAAGAGGAGUGGUGAGAGUGGGAAUUCUUGUCUCGUUCCUGUUCUCAGAGGAAAUACCUUCAACUUUUCCCCAUUCAGUAUUAUGUUGGCUGUGGCUUUGUCACAGAUGGCUUUUAUUACAUUAAGCCUUAUUAUCCUGGCUGGAACUUCCAGUACUAAGUUGAAUAGCACUGGUAAAGUGGACAUCCUUAUCCUGUUCCUGAUUCCAGGAGUUUGUGAAGGACUGAUAUGAUUUGAUAGAAUUCACCUGCAAAGUCAUCUGAUUCUGGAGUAUGUUUUUGUGGAAAGCUUUUUUUCUCUUUUUUAAAAAAAUCGUGGUAAAAUAUAGAUAACAUAAAAUUUACCGUUUUAGCCAAUUUUAUGUGUACAUUCCUGUGGCAUUAAGUACAUUCACGUGGUUGUCCAACCACUACCACCAUCCAUUCCCAAAACAUUUCGUCUUCCCAAAAUGAAAUUUCAUACCCAUUAAACCACAUUUCCCUUCUCCCCGAGCCCCAGCAACCACCAUUCUACUUUCUGUCUCAAUGAAUCAGACUAAUCGAGGUACCAUGUAUAUACAGAAUCACACUAUUUGUCCUUUCGUGACUGGCUUAUUCACUUAGCUCAAUGUCCUCAAGUUUCAUCUGUGUUGUAGCAUGUGUCAGGAUUUCCUUCCUUUAUAAGGCUGAAUAACAUUCCCUGUAUGGAUAGACUACUUUUGGUCUAUCCAUUCAUCUGUCAAUAAACACCUGGGUCACUUCCACCCUUGGCUAUUGUGGACAAUGCUGCUAUAAACAUGUGCGUACAAAUAUCUGCUUGAGUCCUCACUUUUAGUUUCUUUAAGUACGCACCUAGAAGUGGAAUUACUGGAUCAUGUGUUGAUACUGUGUUUAAUUUUUGAGGAACUGCCACGCUUUCUCCACAGGGUUUCAAUUUCCCCACAUCCUUACCAACACUUGAUAUUUUCUCUUGUUUUUUAUAGUGGCCAUCCUAAUAGGUGACAAAUGGCAUCUCAUUGUGGUUUUCUUUUCAUAUGCUUAUUGGCCAUUAGAAUAUCUUUUUGGGAAAAAUGUUUAUUCAAGCUCUUUUCCAUAUUGGGUAAUUUGUCUUUUUUUAAGGAUAGGAUUUCACUGUGUUGCCCAGCCUGGUCUUGAACUCCUGGGAUCAAACAAUCCUCUCAUCUCAGCCUCCCAAGUAGCUAGGACUACAGACAUGUGCCA